rnacentral:rRNA from 1 species
UACGUAGGGUGCAAGCGCUAUCCGGAAUUAUUGGGCGUAAAGAGCUCGUAGGCGGUUUGUCGCGUCUGCUGUGAAAACUGGGGGCUCAACCCCCAGCCUGCAGUGGGUACGGGCAGACUAGAGUGCGGUAGGGGAGAUUGGAAUUCCUGGUGUAGCGGUGGAAUGCGCAGAUAUCAGGAGGAACACCGAUGGCGAAGGCAGAUCUCUGGGCCGUAACUGACGCUGAGGAGCGAAAGCGUGGGGAGCAAACAGG